UCUUCAUAUUAAUAUAAUAAAUUUAGAUAAUUGUUAAAAUCACAUUUGCAAUUGAUAAAGCUACAUUUUACAUGACCUUGUAGGUAACUAGCUAACAGUAUGCCUUUUUUUUUUGUGCCUUUCUUUGCAUUGAAAGAACGUAGUGGUUGAGAGGGAAAUACUAAAGAUUCUAUGAAAAAACACAUUGCUUCAUAUAAUACCAUAACUUUUUAAUUGUGAUUUGUUUUUUUUUAAACUAUUUUUGAUGAAGUAUAAUUAUAUCAUGACAGAAUAACAAUUGCAAUCAUACAGAUUAUUGAAUUAAAUCAUUAAAUUUAUCAGAUACAAUAAAUGUGUUUGAAAAGAUUGCCACUAUUUUGAAACAAAUAAAUCUGAAAAUAUCAAUGAUCAAUACCAAUAUUGCCAAAUGACAGAAAUAAUAAAAAUAACAACAUCCUGCCACUC
rnacentral:lncRNA from 1 species